rnacentral:ncRNA from 1 species
UGCAGGUAUGCGUGGGAACUACUUAGGUCGCUCGUAAGAGUGGCAGCCCCAAGCGGGUGGGAUCCUAAGUCCCGGGACCUGCAAUCAG